GAUGAACGCUAGCUACAGGCUUAAGACAUGCAAGUCGAACGGACUUAACUCAUUCUUUUAGAUUGAGAGCGGUUAGUGGCGGACUGGUGAGUAACACGUAAGCAACCUGCCUAUUAGAGGGGAAUAACAGUGAGAAAUCAUUGCUAAUACCGCAUAUGCUAACAGUAUCGCAUGAUACAGUUAGGAAAGGAGCAAUCCGCUAAUAGAUGGGCUUGCGUCUGAUUAGCUAGUUGGUGGGGUAACGGCCUACCAAGGCGACGAUCAGUAGCCGGACUGAGAGGUUGAACGGCCACAUUGGGACUGAGAUACGGCCCAG
rnacentral:rRNA from 1 species